rnacentral:misc_RNA from 1 species
AACGCACAUUGCGCCCCUUGGUAUUCCAUGGGGCAUGCCUGUUCGAGCGUCGUCUAAACCCUCAAGCCCACGGCUUGGUGUUGGGCGUCUGUCCCGCUCCGCGCGCGGACUCGCCCCAAAUGCAUUGGCAGCCGCCUCUCGGCCUCUCGCGCAGCACAUUGCGUUGCGAGGCGUGCGAGGCGUGCGUCCAGCAAGCGACCUACACCUUUUGACCUCGGAUCAGGUAGGGAUACCCGCUGAACUUAA